rnacentral:lncRNA from 1 species
AGAAAAGCUAAAUGAGCUGUAACAAGGAAAAUUCACAGACCAACCUUGAAGGUUCUCAGAACUAAUUUUAAGCAUUCACUUAUAUUGUGAGAAAUGCUCCUGAGAAACUAAAAAGGGUGGUCAGAACAGCUUCUGCUUGUCUAGCUCCUUUGCUCAUUAAUCAGACCGAUAUGUAACCAUAAGCGUUGUUUCUGAGACUGAGGUCUGGUAUAUAAAGCAGUCUAGCAUGUAACAAGUUAAGGAUCCUGAUAAUAAAGCAAGAAUACUCUUGGCAAUUUGUCUCCUGCGUUUCUGCUGCACUUGAGAGGACCUGCAAAAUGCGUACAACAGUUUUGGCGGGUUGUCCUUCUCUUCUCAAGUUUGGCGAUUGGACUUACCGCUGCAGGACUACACUGCUAGCCGGCAAUUUGGUGGUGCGAUCAGUAGCGGUGAUUAGCCGACUGUCAAUAAGGCAGCACGGGACGCAGAUCCAACCAGUUGUCACAGAAGAAGUUCGAUAUCAGCACAUCUUCUGGGAAGAUGGGAAUCAGCUGAGUAAAUCUCUACCCUGUGGUCACAUGCAUGAUUGAACUGAAACCUUACCAUGAUUUGCUCCAGGACAAAACCAAAUACCCUACAACUUAUUGAAGAUUAGGUCCAAGAAAUAUGUUUAUUAGUACAAGGACUUUAAAAGUCUUGCUUUACAAGAAAACGUUGUACAUGUUCAAACAACACCGAAGUAUGAAUGGUAAAUAUUUGAAAUUUAUAUUCAUGUUACAGUCUUUGCUAUGCUGCUUGCACACUGAAAAUGGAAUUGUAACACAAACCACUGAAUUUGUAUUCAGUUUUCAGUUCAAUUUUCAACUGGAGCCAGUUCAAUGCUGAAUUAAUUCUACUUGUUUUUAUGUGUGCAAGUUCCAUCAGUCUGAACAAUAAUUUUUAUAUAUAGCUAAUGUAGUUUCUAUUUCAUUGAAUGUACUGCAUCUGCAUGGAAAAUGGAACAGUGACUCCCAUGUUAUGUGUUAUAGUUGUAUGUAUAAUUUUGUUUAUUUUCUUACUGUAAUCUUUGACAAACGUUUUGUGCAGCUUGUUGUCAUUAUUACAAAGAUCACUGUCACAAAAAUUAUUUUGUCCACAGAGGGCCUACAAAGGUCUUAAUAUUUAUUUAUUUAUUUGCAUUUUUAUCCUACCCUAUAUCUGAAGGUCUCAGAGCAGGUUACCACAAUUAAAACAGCAGCAACAACAACAAAAACAACCCUCAUAAAAGGCAUGCAAUAAAACAGUAGUCUGAAAGUAGGGAGGGAAAGCU